rnacentral:rRNA from 1 species
GACGAACGCUGGCGGCGUGCUUAACACAUGCAAGUCGAACGAAGUGGCGAACGGGGGAGUAAUACGUGGGUAACCUGCCCUACUUUUUGGGAUAAGCCUUGGAAACGGGGUCUAAUACCGAAUAAAGGGGGAUGGGCUCGCGGCCUAUCAGCUUGUUGGUGGGGUGAUGGCCUACCAAGGCGGGGACGGGUAGCCAGGCUGUGCGGGUGAACUGCCACAGUGGGACGGAGCUACGGCCCAGAGUCGUAAGCGGGGCAGCAGUGGGGGAUAUUGCACAAUGGGCGAAAGCCUGAUGCAGCGUCGCCGAGUGGGGGAUGAAGGCUUUAGAGUUGUAAACCUCUGUCGGUACCGAAAGGGUAGGUGGCGAAGAAGCGCCGGCUAACUACGUGCCAGCAGCCGCGGUAAUUC